AGAGUUUGAUCCUGGCUCAGGACGAACGCUGGCGGCGCGCCUAACACAUGCAAGUCGAACGAGCGAGAGAGAGCUUGCUUUCUCAAGCGAGUGGCGAACGGGUGAGUAACGCGUGAGGAACCUGCCUCAAAGAGGGGGACAACAGUUGGAAACGACUGCUAAUACCGCAUAAGCCCACAGCUCGGCAUCGAGCAGAGGGAAAAGGAGCAAUCCGCUUUGAGAUGGCCUCGCGUCCGAUUAGCUAGUUGGUGAGGUAACGGCCCACCAAGGCGACGAUCAGUAGCCGGACUGAGAGGUUGAACGGCCACAUUGGGACUGAGACACGGCCCAGACUCCUACGGGAGGCAGCAGUGGGGAAUAUUGCACAAUGGGGGAAACCCUGAUGCAGCGACGCCGCGUGGAGGAAGAAGGUCUUCGGAUUGUAAACCCCUGUUGUUGAGGAAGAUAAUGACGGUACUCAACAAGGAAGUGACGGCUAACUACGUGCCAGCAGCCGCGGUAAAACGUAGGUCACAAGCGUUGUCCGGAAUUACUGGGUGUAAAGGGAGCGCAGGCGGGAAGACAAGUUGGAAGUGAAAUCCAUGGGCUCAACCCAUGAACUGCUUUCAAAACUGUUUUUCUUGAGUAGUGCAGAGGUAGGCGGAAUUCCCGGUGUAGCGGUGGAAUGCGUAGAUAUCGGGAGGAACACCAGUGGCGAAGGCGGCCUACUGGGCACCAACUGACGCUGAGGCUCGAAAGUGUGGGUAGCAAACAGGAUUAGAUACCCUGGUAGUCCACACUGUAAACGAUGAUUACUAGGUGUUGGAGGAUUGCACCCCUUCAGUGCCGCAGUU
rnacentral:rRNA from 1 species